GACGAACGCUGCGGCGUGCCUAAUACAUGCCAGUCGAACGCAGUUGCGAACGGGUGAGUAACGCGUAGGUAACUGCCUCAUAGCGGGGGAUAACUAUUGGAAACGAUAGCUAAUACCGCAUACCUGUGGAUUGACCUGCGUUGUAUUAGGUUGUUGGGGAGGGAAAGGCCUACCCAGGCCACCAUACAUUGCCGGCCUGUGAGGGUGAGCGGCCAAACUGGGACUGGGGAACGGGCCCGAAUCCCACGGGAGGGAGCAGUAGGGAAUCUUCGGCAAUGGACGGAAGGCUUGACAAGCAAAGCCGCGUGAGUGAAGAAGGUUUUCGGAUCGUAAAGCUCUGUUGUUAGAGAAGCGGUAACUAACCAGAAAGGGACGGCUAACUACGUGCCAGCAGCCGCGGUAAUAC
rnacentral:rRNA from 1 species